GUCGAACCAAGCGGAGUAAACUUAUACAAAGUUAGGAAAAUUGUUGGCAAACUGGUUUAAACUGGUAGUUCUUUGGAAGGUAAAAGUUCUUUGGAAGAAGUCAAAAUGAAGAGUUUCAUGUUUUUUUUCCUUUUGGUGUUACAAAUAUGCUGUGUUUUUGUCUUGGCGGAUGUUUCUUCGGAAGGCCAAGAUGAUAUUGAGAAUAUUUUAACUAAAGUGGACACAAGUUCCACGGAUAGGAAAAAUCCUGUACGAGAAAAGCGGGGAUGGUUCAGCAACAACAACAACAACAAUAAUAAUAAUAACAAUAACAACAACAAUAAU